rnacentral:tRNA from 1 species
UUAAGAGUACUAAGGGAAGUUUUAGGCCAUAAGCUUUAGAUAGUUUGGGUAGAAG